rnacentral:siRNA from 1 species
UUAGAGGUGUCAAAAUGGGUA